rnacentral:rRNA from 1 species
GGAUUAGAUACCCUGGUAGUCCACACUGUAAACGAUGAAUGCUAAGUAUUGGGGCAACUCAGUGCUGAAGCUAACGCGUUAAGCAUUCCGCCUGGGGAGUACGGUCGCAAGACUAAAACUCAAAGGAAUUGACGGGGACCCGCACAAGCGGUGGAACAUGCUGUUUAAUUCGAUACUACGCGAAGAACCUUACCAGUUCUUGACAUCUGGAUCGCGAUCUCAGAGAUGAGAUUUUCAGUUAGGCUGGAUCCAAGACAGGUAUUGCAUGGCUGUCGUCAGCUCGUGCC